rnacentral:rRNA from 1 species
GACGAACGCUGGCGGCGUGCUUAACACAUGCAAGUCGAACGGAAAGGCCCUGCUUUUGUGGGUUGCUCGAGUGGCGAACGGGUGAGUAACACGUGAGUAACCUGCCCUUGACUUUGGGAGAACUUCAGGAAACUGGGGCUAAUACCGGAUAGGAGCUCCUGCUGCAUGGUGGGGGUUGGAAAGUUUCGGCGGUUGGGGAUGGACUCGCGGCUUAUCAGCUUGUUGGUGGAGUAGUGGCUGACCAAGGCUUUGACGGGUAGCCGGCCUGAGAGGGUGACCGGGCACAUGAGUACUGAGAUACGGACCAGUAUCCUACGGGAGGCAGCAGUGGGGAAUCUUGCGCAAUGGGCGGAAGCGUGAUGCAGCAACGCCGCGUGCGGGAUGCCGGCCUUCGGGUUGUAAACAGCUUUGGCCUGUGACGAAGCGUGCGUGACGGUAAUGGGUCAGGAAGCACCGGCUAACUACGUG